rnacentral:rRNA from 1 species
UACAGAGGUGGCAAGCGUUGUUCGGAAUUACUGGGCGUAAAGGGCUUGUAGGCGGCCAACUAAGUCAGACGUGAAAUCCCUCGGCUUAACCGGGGAACUGCGUCUGAUACUGGAUGGCUUGAGAUUGGGAGAGGGAUGCGGAAUUCCAGGUGUAGCGGUGAAAUGCGUAGAUAUCUGGAGGAACACCGGUGGCGAAGGCGGCAUCCUGGACCAACACUGACGCUGAGGAGCGAAAGCCAGGGGAGCAAACGGG